rnacentral:rRNA from 1 species
UGCGAGUCACGUAGCAAUACGUGGCAUACGGCUCAGUAACACGUAGUCAACAUGCCCAGGGGACGUGGAUAACCUCGGGAAACUGAGGAUAAACCACGAUAGGUCAUAAUAUCUGGAAUGAUUUAUGGCUAAAAUCUACAUGGCCCCUGGAUUGGACUGCGGCCGAUCAGGCUGUUGGUGAGGUAAUGGCCCACCAAACCUAAAACCGGUACGGGCUCUGAGAGGAGAAGCCCGGAGAUGGGCACUGAGACAAGGGCCCAGGCCCUAUGGGGCGCAGCAGGCGCGAAAACUCUGCAAUAAGCGAAAGCUUGACAGGGUUAUUCUGAGUGAUUUCCGCUAAGGAAAUCUUUUGGCACCUCUAAAAAUGGUGCAGAAUAAGGGGUGGGCAAGCCUGGUGUCAGCCGCCGCGGUAAUACCAGCACCCCGAGUGGUCGGGACGAUUAUUGGGCCUAAAGCAUCCGUAGCCGGUUCUACAAGUCUUCCGUUAAAUCCAUCUGCUUAACAGAUGGGCUGCGGAGGAUACUAUGGAGCUAGGAGGCGGGAGAGGCAAGCGGUACUUAGUGGGUAGGGGUAAAAUCCGUUGAUCCACUGAAGACCACCAGUGGCGAAGGCGGCUUGCCAGAACGCGCUCGACGGUGAGGGAUGAAAGCUGGGGGAGCAAACCGGAUUAGAUACCCGGGUAGUCCCAGCUGUAAACGGUGCAGACUCGGUGAUGAAUAGGCUUCGUGCCUUUUCAGUGCCGCAGGGAAGCCGUUAAGUCUGCCGCCUGGGGAGUACGGUCGCAAGACUGAAACUUAA